GGGUAAAGUAAGUACAGAAAUGCAGCAAAAGGAAGCUCAAAUGCAGCUUGAAUGUCUCCGAGCCUGUCCGUGCUUUUCAUCCCACGACACUCCCUCUUGGUACUUACGGGAGCGCGAGGGGCCCUCUAGGGGAAGGGAAACUUCUGGACUGUCACCACUGAGUUCCAAGCAUUCCAGAGGGCUCACUGGCAAGGAAGUCUGUCAUCGCCUGACGGAGAAAGGCCUGGUUGGGUUGGCUCCACUCCUCCCCUCUCAGCCCCUGUCUUUGCAGCCCCCUGGUCUCACGGACCAGCCCCCACAGCCUGUCCUACCAAGAGAACACCGGCCUCCAGCAGGAAAGACCCACUUCCCAGCCCCACCAAGGGGCACCUCGGGAGGGCAACUGGAGCUUGCAGCAAGGAUGCCUGGCCUUGGCUCUGGUUUAGCCCCUUACCCUCUCUGGGCCUCAGGGUCUGCACUUUGAAAUAAGAAAUCUUAGCUCAACUAGACUGGCACACUGCCGUCCUGGGGCCUGAGUCUUGUCCUGGCUCUAAGGAAUAGUCACGGAGUGCUGCCCCCCAUUCCCUCUCCCCAGGCUCUGGAAAAACAGCUUCCUCACACACACCGCCCCCCGUAGGCCAUCAACUCCAGCCCGGGGAUGUCACACCGAGCCAUCUUAUUGAUUUUGUGUGUCUGGUUCCUCCCGAACCCCAGGUCUUUCUUGCUCCCAGCGAGACUGAGCGCUCCUUAAGAACAACAGCCUGGGGUCUGCUUGCUUCUGGGCUCCCCUCAGAGCCCAGUCUGGGGCUGUGCGCACGCUCGAACCUCAGACCGGGUACUGAUCGCGCCUGGCCCCUCCUCGAGGUCUUUGGUGAACACCCACCGGACCCCCGGUCCCCGGUGCCUACUGGACAGAGUUCUGGCUACACAGGAAGGAAGCCCAGCUUCUGCCCCCGGCAGCACUCCGCUCGGGCUGUAGGACUCUUGGCAAGGCCCUUCACCUUGCUCAGAAGCAUCUGUGCUUUUUCAAACUGCUCAGUCAAGGCCAGGCGGGCCGGGGACAUUCCUGAGUGGUGGGGAGAGGCCAAGGGCCUGAGCUGGGGGAUUCCAGGCCUCAGCCCCACCACCCAGAGCUGUUCCAUUCUUGUAACUUUUACACAUUCGGCUUUCACGUGGGAUUUUUGCUUUUUGUUUUGACGGCUUUCCCGAGGGAAAAGGGAUCUACGAUAACCUGACAUAUUUAAAGAGCACAACUGGAUAGGUUUUGUCCAUCAACACGACAGAGUGAACACAUCUAUCCCCGUCAAGAGUUUCCUCCUGCCCUUUUCUAAUUCCCUCCAUGACCCGGGAACCACUGAUCUGCCUUCUCUCGUUGCCUUGUCUAGAAUUUUCUGUAAACGGGAGCCUACAGUAGGUACUCUCUUGUGUCUGGCUUCUCUUACUCGGGGUGAUUAUUUUGAGAUUCCUUUGCGUUGGUGCGUGGAUCCGUGGUUCGUUCCUUUGCAAUGCUGAGCGAUAUUCUGUUGUAUGGAAACACCGCAAUCUGUUCACCUGUUGGCCUGUUGGGGGCAGUUUGGACUGUUUCGGUCUCUAGCUGUUAGAAAUGCAACCGCUAUGAAUGUUCCUUCAUACAAGAUUUUAUCUGAAGGAGUCGCGCUACUAAAAAAACAAAAAAAAAAAAGCAGCAGCAGCAACAGCAGCAGCAGCUGGACAAGACGAUCCCUGGAGUGACAGGCUCUGAAGGACCCAGAAGCUGUAGUGGGCCGAGCUGGGGACUCAAGGAUGAAGGGAACUGCCCCUUGCAGGCCGCUGAUGGGUGCCAAGCACCUGACCGCAUUUGCUCAUUUCAUCACAGCCCGUCCGUGAGACAGGUGCCACUGUGAUUCCCAGUUUACAGACAAAACAGCUGAGACAUAAGGCAGUGAGUGUCCCUGAUGACACACAUGUAGGCGGUGGGUCCGUUGUGACUCAGACCCAAGGCCUGGCUGCCGCGGGGCCCAGGCUCCCAGCCACCACGUGUCUGUACAGGGGCUGCGAGAGGGUUCCCUGGCUGGCUUUGAUUCGCCGUGUAGUGGGGGUUGAUAUGGGCGUUGGUGCCGUGCCGGACUCGCUGGGAACACGCAGUCAGCCUGGGAGGCACACUUUGGGGAGCCGGGGCCACACCCGCAGGAAGAAGUGAGUCAGCCACGUGGCCCAGGGGCGCCGGGUGCUGGGCCUGGCAAAAGCAAUGGUGGGGAGCCCCGGGUUACACGGAGGCCACGGGACUUUUCACAUAUGUGCCCUCCUGUAAUGUUCACAGUAACUGGGGGGUUAUCAGCCCAUUUUAGAGAUAAGAACACUGAGGCUCAGGAGAGUCGAACUGUUAAGAAUCUGUCAGCUUCGAGUAACAGAAAAGCCAGCCCAAAGUGGCUUAAACGAUAAAGACAUUCAUCUGACAAAACCCCCAAUGUUCUAGAUUUGGCGAAUUCCAGCUCGGUAAUCCAGGGAUGCCCCAGGCCAUUGUUCCCUCUUUGUGGGCUCCUUCUUUGGCGCCUUGGCCCAUCCCUUCCUCACAGUCCCCAAAUGGCUGCAAAGAUGUCAGGGACCCACAAUGGCACUCAGAGGCAAGCAGGGAACUCUCUCCUCUCUGUCGCCCAUUUUGAGAGGAGCGAGACCCUCCCAGCAUCCCCACAGACUUCCCCUUGCUUCCCAUUGGCCAGGACUCCCUAAACCAGUCAGCGGGUAAGGGAACAACACACCUUCUGGGGCAGGGGUAGAGGUGGGGAGGGGGUAGGGUGGUAGGGGGCUCUGCUGGGGUGGGGCUCUCCUUGGGGGGGGGGUCCUCCAGGUGCCAAGAGAAGGGUAAACAACAUCCAGGUUUUGCUCCUGAGGAAGGAGGGGUCUGCCUCAGGGAAGAGAGUUUGCUCAAGGUGGUCCAUGUGUUUAGAGGCCGAGCUGAGUUCUGACGCAUGCAGAGACAUUUUGCCUUGCCCAUUAUCCUUCGAACAUCUUUAUCAUCCUCAGCCCACAGAGGGGGAAAUUAAGGCUUCACGAAAGGAGCCCAGGCCAGCCCCAUUGCUCCAUGAGGACCCUGUGUGUAAUAAGAUAUUAACACUUUGUGUGCCAGCCCUACAGUAUUCCAUCGCCUAUGAGGUAAGACACUAUUAUUAGCCCCAUUUCACAGACGGAAACACAGAGGCACAGAGAGAACAGGAACCUCGCCGGAGGUAACGCAGCCAGAAAGUGGUGGCACUGGUAUUUGACCUCUGCCUGGUGUUCCAGAUCUGCCACACCAACAGCCAUAAACAACUUUUACACCCUGUGCCCCAAGCCCCAUGUAAGAGAGGAUCUGAUUGGUUGUCCCACUCGCCAACUUGUCACGGCUGCCCCCAUUGGUCGGAGCAUCACCCCAGCUGCCCAUCGCACCCUCCCCAUUGGACGCCAGCCAGCCUAUAGAAUGGCCGCCUUCAGCCCUGAAAGCUGUCCAAAGACCAGAGGGGCAAAGCUGGACUAGGAGAGAGAAGAGGUCUGAGUUCAAGUCUCAGCUGGGCAUCUGACUUGCUGUGUGACCUCGAGAAAGUCCCUUCUCCUUCCAGGGAUCAGUUCCUUCAGCUGUCAUAAUAAGGAUUGGACCAGAGGAGCAUUUCCCAAACUGCAAAAAAAGGGUUAAUAGCACACCACGAAAAGAGAGAGAGAGAGAGAGACAAUCUUUGGCCAAACACGUUGGGAAAAACCAUUUAACACCUAUUAGAGUAUUAAACACUCUGACUGAGGCUGGGCUGUCCAGUAUGGUAGCCACUAGUCACAUGUGAUGACUUAAAUUAAAAUUAAUUAAAAUCAGUUAAAAUUUAAAAUUCAUUGCCUCCAUCUCACCAGCCAUAUUGCAAGGGCUUGUUAGACAUGAGCGACUGGUGGUUACCACGCAGCACGGACGCAACUGGAGAAUUUCCUUGCUCACAGAAAGUGCUCAUUGAUGGUGCUGCAGUCAGAGGAGGGCUGUUCCAGUUUAACCAGAACCUCCCACCCGCAUUUGACCGCACUAUCCCUACGGCGCAUCUAUGACCAACGAGAGAAGUAAUACCGCUCCCGGGAACAUGGUCAGAUGUGGAGCGAGAGGAAUCUCUUGGGGCCCUUCCAACUCCAAGAGUGAAGAAGGGGGAACAUUCUGGUAACUGAAUUCCUCCUAGGGGAGGGAACUGCCUCCUAGGGGAGGGAACCGCCUGUGUGCAGCAGCUCUCUUGGCUAAAAACGACGUUGUAAUUGUGGACGCAGCUGGGACGCACUGGGAAGGAGGGGGCAGAGAACAUAGUUGUUCGUGGCAUGAAAGGGCGAGGAAUUGGGAGAGGGAGAGGAAAGAGGGGAGGCGAGUGGGUUGAGGGUCAGGGAGGAUCUAGCAGUCCGGUGGGAAGAUGGGGCCCAGGCAGGAGGAUGGACGGGGGGGCCAGGAUGGCUGAAGGACCGUGGAGAGCUGAGAGUUCUGAUGAGCAACUGGAAGGCGUCUGCUGGUGGCCGCACUGCAGUGUAGCCCGCUCACCCAUCAUCCCUGAGUACCUGUCUCCCAUACCUGGACACAUAACAUUGGGGAAAAUCAAGAAAUGGGGGUGCUGACCUUUGGGCUGCCUGGAAAGGGUCUUCAAGGGAGUCAAGAGUUGAAGGGUAGUGAAUCCAGCAGAAGAAGGUCGCAUGGAAAAGAAGAAUUGCCGAGGCAAGCUAGGGGAGACGGACCCCCACCACGAGAGUCCCCAGAGGGAUCAGAAGGUGUGGCGGCUUUAAAACAUGCCCCCCCCCAAGGCGCCUGGGUGGCUCAGUUGGUUAAGCAUCUGCCUUCAGCUCGGGUCGUGAUCUCGGGGUCCUGGGAUCUUGGGGUCCUGGGAUCGAGCCCUGUGUU